UACGUAGGGGGCUAGCGUUAUCCGGAAUUACUGGGCGUAAAGGGUGCGUAGGUGGUUUCUUAAGUCAGAGGUGAAAGGCUACGGCUCAACCGUAGUAAGCCUUUGAAACUGGGAAACUUGAGUACAGGAGAGGAGAGUGGAAUUCCUAGUGUAGCGGUGAAAUGCGUAGAUAUUAGGAGGAACACCAGUUGCGAAGGCGGCUCUCUGGACUGUAACUGACACUGAGGCACGAAAGCGUGGGGAGCAAACAGGAUUAGAUACCCUGGUAGUCCCUGAGCGGG
rnacentral:rRNA from 1 species